rnacentral:rRNA from 1 species
AUGAGUGUGCACCAGUUGGAGGCUGAGCCUAACUGCAACUCUGCAAGUACUGUAAGAUUCGGACCCUGCUGUGUGAAAAUUGAUUGUACCUGUAUGAGUAUGGAUAGUUAUCGGAAACCGAUCGCGUCCAUGAUUUAUCAUACAGUUUUGCUAGGUCUCAGUCGACUUAGACUUCGUUAUGUCUCAGUCGAUGUUAUAUUCCAUUGA